CCAGUCGGGGAAGGAGCCGCUCGUGGACCCGUAACCCAGAGGAGCUCGAUCGCGCCGUCGGCUCAGCGGGGCUUCCAAGAGGAGACCUGGGUCUGGGACUCGGGGCGGACGGGAAGCGAACCCAGUGCUGCAGGGACCCUACCUCCCGCCAUGAGGACACUAGGGACGUUCAUUUUCCGAGUCAAACGAGUACGUCCCCACCGUUCAGUCCUCCUCCACUGACUUCCGGUUCCUGUGUGCAUCCCCCAAAAGAGCCCGGCCUUUCCGCAGAACGAUUCUGGCCGCAGCGGCGUUCCGGGCCCGCCCAGGUGUGGAGCCCGGAGCGGUGGGGGGGCCGCGGCUGGGCUGCGCCGCGAGGUGAGUGCCCGGAGGAGCUCCGCGCCGCGAUCCCGAGCCCUGGGUGGUCCGCAGACUUACUCCACUGCCUCCGGGAACGUGGAGGGGAGGAAGGAAGCGGAAUUAAAAAAAGAAAAAAAAAGAAGAAGAUGAGUGCCAUGUGAAGAUGGAGCCAAAAAUUGAAGUGAUGCACAUACAAACCACGGAAGGCCAAGGAUAGCCAGCACAAGCUGGGAGAGAGGCGUGGAACGGAUUCACUCUCAGAAGGAACCGACCCUGCCAACACCUGUACUUCAGACUUCCAGCCUCCAGAGCUGUGAGAGAAUAAAUUUCUGUUGUUUUAAGCCACCAGGUUUGUGGUAAUUUGUUACAGCAGCCACGGGAGACAAAUGCCUGAGGCCAGAAGGAGCCUGGUGAUGGAUGCUUUCAGAGGCGAUGUGGUCCGCUCUCAGGGUGCAACAAGUCACUUGCUACCUGCACAACCUGAGAUUCUCAUCCUCUCCGAGCCUCAGCUUCCUCAUUUGUGAAAUGGACGUAGUGGUAUCUGCCUCUCAUUUCUACUAAGAGGAUGUCUAGUUAGAAACUGGAUGUAGAGAACAUGACUUAUAAUAAGGGUUCAAUAAAUGUUAGUUCCUCAUUAAAGCAUUAUCUCUUCUGGGGAGCCAAUUAUUAUUUUUAAAUAUAUAUUUUUAUUGAUUUCAGAGAGGAAGGGGAAGGGAGAGAGAUAGAAACAUCAAAGAUGAGAGAAGCAUUGAUCAGCGGCCUCCUGCACGCCCCCGGCUGGGGUUUAAGCCUGCAACCCGAGCAUGUGCCCUUGACCGGAAUUGAACCCAGAGGAGCCCAGUGAUUUGCUUCAGCCUGUAGGCUAGCGCUCUGUCCACUGAGCUAAACCAGCUAGGGCUGGGGAGCCAAUUAUUAAUGAGCUUGCGGGGAAACCCUCGCUCCCUGGAGCAUUCAUUCAGAAUUACUUUGACCAGAGGCUGGAAGUGGUAGGGAAAGAGGCAACCACUGUGCCUGACUUACUGUAAACCAGAAUCUGUGUUCAAAAUGAAAGUCGUCAUCUUCCCCAGAAACCAGCUCCUUCUCACUUCCCUGGUUUUGUUGCUCACAUGCAUACGCCCCUGCUCCUCCCACUCCUUUUGUCAUUAUGUCUAGCUUGUCAUCUACUUACUGUGUUUUUUAAAGGUUUUUGACCAUAGUGUACAUGGGAAACAACUGCUUUAUUAAACUUGGGUUUACACAUAUGAUGCACUUUGAUAUUUUCUAUUUCGUGAUUUUUUU